rnacentral:other from 1 species
ACAUUCCUGAUGUGUUCGUUGGAUUAUUAAUGUUUUGACCGAACAUUUAUAAUAUUGGGAGCUUGGUGUUUUUAUGUGGCGUACACGCCUAACUUUUGGACGUAUAAAGCAUAAAACAAAGCACCCACCUGCGAAGAGCGGGCCAAAACUUUUAAGAAAGACGGCACGAUCGGGAUUGUA